rnacentral:rRNA from 1 species
GUUCAUGGUCAACUACUUUCAAUAUACCCCAUCUUGUGUGAUCUUGGAAGCUAAGGAGGGUCAGGCCUUAUUAGGACUUGGAUGGGAGACACAGAAUGAUGCUGUGCCCU